AUUGAACGCUGGCGGCAUGCUUUACACAUGCAAGUCGAACGGUAACAGGGAGCUUGCUCCGCUGACGAGUGGCGAACGGGUGAGUAAUGCGUCGGAACGUGCCGAGUAGUGGGGGAUAACGCAUCGAAAGGUGUGCUAAUACCGCAUACGUACUGAGGUAGAAAGUGGGGGACCUUCGGGCCUCACGCUAUUCGAGCGGCCGACGUCUGAUUAGCUAGUUGGUGAGGUAAAGGCUCACCAAGGCGACGAUCAGUAGCGGGGCUGAGAGGAUGAUCCGCCACACUGGGACUGAGACACGGCCCAGACUCCUACGUGAGGCAGCAGUGGGGAAUUUUGGACAAUGGGCGCAAGCCUGAUCCAGCCAUGCCGCGUGUCUGAAGAAGGCCUUCGGGUUGUAAAGGACUUUUGUCCGGGAGCAAAUGCUGGUGGCUAACAUCCACCGGAGCUGAGAGUACCGGAAGAAUAAGCACCGACUAACUACGUGCCAGCAGCCGCAGUAAUAC
rnacentral:rRNA from 1 species